AUUGAACGCUGGCGGCAUGCCUUACACAUGCAAGUCGAACGGCAGCACGGGAGCAAUCCUGGUGGCGAGUGGCGAACGGGUGAGUAAAGUAUCGGAACGUGCCCAGUCGUGGGGGAUAACGUAGCGAAAGUUACGCUAAUACCGCAUACGAUCUAUGGAUGAAAGCGGGGGAUCGCAAGACCCUGCGCGAUUGGAUCGGCCGAUAUCAGAUAAGGUAGUUGGUGGGGUAAAGGCUCACCAAGCCGACGAUCUGUAGCUGGUCUGAGAGGACGUACAGGCACACUGAGGCUGUGGCAAGGCCCAGACUCCUACGGGAGGCAGAAGUGGGGAAUGUUGGAAAAUGGGCGAAGGCCAGAUCCAGCCAUGCAGCGAGCAGGAUGAAGGCCUUCGAGUUGUAAGCUGGUUUUGUACGGAACGAAAAGGUUUGGCCUAAUAAGCUGAGCUCAUGACGGUACCGUAAGAAUAAGCACCGGCUAACUACGUGCCAGCAGCCGCAGUAA
rnacentral:rRNA from 1 species